rnacentral:lncRNA from 1 species
UUUUUUGUUUUUUUUUUUUUAACUGUUGAGAGAAAAGCCAGAAACAAAAGGCUGCAUAGUGUACAAUUCCAAUUAUGUAAAACUCUAAAAGAUACAAAUUAACAAACAGUGGUAGAAAGUAGAUUAGUGAUUGACUGGUGCUGGGGUGGACUGAGGGAAUGUGGGAAUUGACUGGAAAAGGGUAAGAGAACACUUGGCUGGCAAUGGAAAUGUUCUAUAUCUUCACUGUGGCCAGUAUAAGAACAUGUGCCUUUAUCAAAAGUCAUCAAUCUGCACACUAAAAAUGGGUGCAUUUCAUUGUAUGUAAAUGUUACGCCAAUAAGAUUUAUUUUAAAAAUUGUAGUGGAAAUGCAAGGAGAAGAAAGGGGGUAAUUUAGGUAUAAUUCUAUGUGAGAGCGGGCAGAUUUUGAGUAGGUUUAUAUGCUAAGAGGAAAAGACAGUGGAGAUGGAGGGAGAAAAUACCAGAGGGAGGAAAGGACUGAUGAGGCAGAUUUCUCAGGGACAGGAAGGUGGGGUUGCCAUCCCGAGCACUGGUGGAUGGAUGAGCCGUGGAUGGGAGGAGUGAACACAAGCUCCCUGAGUCUGCAGUGGAGGAAAGUGGUUGUACUAUUAAGUUUGAACAAAGACAAAUGUAAUUUUGUUUGUGGGAGGGCAGAAAGUAGAGGAAGUUCAUGGUUCAUUCAAUCAUUCAACCUUUAUUUAUUUUAUGCCAAACACUGUAUUAAUAAAGAUAUGGAUAUUCUAUAAGAAAGAAUAAUACUGUCUCUGCUCUCAUAGAAUUUAGAAUACAGUAGAUGGGGGGGCAUUAAACAAUUAAAGAACUAAAUAUAUAAUUACAGAUUAUUAUGAAUGCCAUACAGGAUAAGGAAUCUAUUAAAGAGUACAACAGAAGGAACCUAAUUUAGACAGAUGGCUCAGGGAAGGUCUCUUUGGUGAAGCCACCUGUCAGCUGAGAGGAGGAAGAUGAGAAGGAGUUAGGUGAUAAGUGAAUGGAAUGACUUCAGUGAAGACCUUAAUAUUGGACAGAUUUGGGUGCAUUUUGAUACAGAACAAUAAUUAUAUGUGAAUUUUAAGAGAUUAAUUUAGGGCCAGGUGUGGUGGCUUACGCCUGUAAUCCCAGCACUUUGGGAGGCCGAGGUGGGCAGAUCACUUGAAGUCAGAAGUUCAAGACCAGCCUGGUCAACAUGGUGAAACCCCAUCUCUACUAAAUAUACAAAAAUUAUCUGGGCACGGUGGCAGUCGCCUGUAAUCCCAGCUACUCAGGAGGCUGAGGCAGGAG